rnacentral:rRNA from 1 species
GGUUAGACGAAGAACCCGAGCAGGGAAAUAAAUAUAAAUCAAUUAAUGUAAGAUGUAAAAAGUAAAAAAUUAUUUCUUUCCUUAGGUGGAAUUUUUAUAAAGAAAAAAGUUUUCUUAUAGUAUCUUAAAGAAUUGAAAAAUAAGAGCUAAAAACCAGGAUUAGAUACCCUGCUAUUUCUUAAAAUAUUCUAGUAGGGGUAGUAAAAGUUGUCCUUCAAACCCAAAGGUUUUGGCGGCACUCUAACCAAAUAGAGGAGCUUGUGUUAUAAUCGAUAAUCCCCGUUUGAUCUUACCUUUACUAGUUAAGUUUGUAUACCUCCGUUGUCAGAUUACUCCAAAAGGAUGUUUUCCAGAAAAAUAAUUUCUCUACUUCAGGUCAAGGUGCAACUUAUGUAAAGGCAAUAAUGAGCUACAAUUCUUUUUAGAAUACGGAAGUCUGAAUGAAAUUUCAGUCGAAGGUGGAUUUAUUAGUAAGUUGAUUUUAGGAAAAUUAACUGAACAUGGCAAUAGCGUGUGUACAUAUCGCCCGUCACUCUCCUUCUAAGAGGAGAUAAGUCGUAACAAA